GAAGCGAGUACGACGGGGUUGUAGCUGGCCUUCCGAGGCAUGGUGCACGCCCUGGCUCAUCCACUCUACACCUGUGCACUUACUGUGGGUUUUACGGGUCGUGAAAUGGGCUCGUUCAUUCGGGCUCGUUGAGCGCACUUGUUGCCUGCGUUUAUCACAAACUCCAUAAAGUAUUAGAAUGUGUAUUGCGAUGUAACGCAUCUAUAUACAACUUUCAGCAACGGAUCUCUUGGCUCUCGCAUCGAUGAAGAACGCAGCGAAAUGCGAUAAGUAAUGUGAAUUGCAGAAUUCAGUGAAUCAUCGAAUCUUUGAACGCACCUUGCGCUCCUUGGUAUUCCGAGGAGCAUGCCUGUUUGAGUGUCAUGAAAUCUUCAAUCUACAAGCUUCUUAUGGGAGUUUGUAGGCUUGGACUUGGAGGCUUGUCGGUCCUUUACAGGUCGGCUCCUCUCAAAUGCAUUAGCUUGGUUCCUUGCGGAUCGGCUUGUCGGUGUGAUAAUGUCUACGCCGGGACCGUGAAGCGUGUUUGGGCGAGCUUCUAACCGUCUCGUUACGGAGACAACUUUAUGACCUCUGACCUCAAAUCAGGUAGGACUACCCGCUGAACUUAAGCAUAUCAAGCCUGCGGGGGGGGGGGGUCUUUUUUCGAGUUUUGACUGGGUUGUAGCUGGCCUUCCGAGGCAUGUGCACGCCCUGCUCAUCACUCUACACCUGUGCACUUACUGUGGGUUUUACGGGUCGUGAAAAUGUGGCUCGUUCAUUCGGGCUCGUUGAGCGCAUUGGUUUGCCUGCGUUUUAUUCAAACUCUAUAAAGUAUUAGAAAUGUGUAUUGCGAUGUAACGCAUCUAUAUACAACUUUCAGCAACGGAUCUCUGGGCUCUAUGAAUGAAGAACGCACGAAAUGCGAUAGUAAUGUGAAUUGCAGAAUUCAGUGAAUCAUCGAAAUCUUUGAACGCACUGGCCUCUUGGUAUUCGAGGAGCAUGCUGUUUGAGUGUCAUGAAAUCUUUCAUCUAAGCUUCUUAUGGAGUUUGUAGCUUGACUUGAGCUGUCCGUCUUUACAGUCGGUCUCUCAAUGACAUUACUAGAUUCUGCAUGCACUGGUCGUUGAUAUGUCUCGCCGCGAACAGCGUUGUUGACUACAUCUCUACUCUCGGGAACCCUUUUGUCAGCUCUACAUACUGAGUGGGGGACGCUCACUAUACUA
rnacentral:sRNA from 2 species